rnacentral:rRNA from 1 species
GACAGGGGUGCCGAGCGUUAGGCGGAAUCACUGGGCUUAAAGCGUGUGUAGGCGGGCCGUUAAGUAUCUUGUGAAAUCCCCCGGCUCAACCGGGGAAUGGCUGGAUAUACUGGCGGUCUUGAGCGAUCUAGGGGCAGAUGGAACAAGUGGUGGAGCGGUGAAAUGCGUAGAUAUCACUUGGAACGCCAAAGGUGAAAACAGUCUGCUGGGGAUCUGCUGACGCUGAGACACGAAAGCCAGGGGAGCGAACGGG